CCUACGUGAGGCAGCAGUGGGGAAUAUUGCGCAAUGGGCGAAAGCCUGACGCAGCGACGCCGCGUGAGGGAUGAAGGUCUUCGGAUCGUAAACCUCUGUCAGCAGGGAAGAACGGUCACUGUGCUAAUCAGCAGUGAAUUGACGGUACCUGCAAAGGAAGCACCGGCUAACUCCGUGCCAGCAGCCGCGGUAAUACGGAGGGUGCGAGCGUUAAUCGGAAUUACUGGGCGUAAAGCGCUCGUAUGCGGUAUGUCAAGUCAAGGGUGAAAUCCCCGCGCUCAACGUGGGAACUGCCUUUGAAACUGGCAAACUGGAGUGUGUGAGAGGAUAGUGGAAUUCCAGGUGUAGGAGUGAAAUCCGUAGAUAUCUGGAGGAACAUCAGUGGCGAAGGCGACUAUCUGGCACAUAACUGACGCUGAGGAGCGAAAGCGUGGGUAGCAAACAGGAUUAGAUACCCCAGUAGUC
rnacentral:rRNA from 1 species